rnacentral:rRNA from 1 species
GGCGCACGGUGGAUGCCUUGGCACUAGAAGCCGAUGAAGGACGUUACUAACGACGAUAUGCUUUGGGGAGCUGUAAGUAAGCUUUGAUCCAGAGAUUUCCGAAUGGGGAAACCCAGCAUGAGUUAUGUCAUGUUAUCGAUAUGUGAAUACAUAGCAUAUCAGAAGGCACACCCGGAGAACUGAAACAUCUUAGUACCCGGAGGAAGAGAAAGAAAAUUCGAUUCCCUUAGUAGCGGCGAGCGAAACGGGAAGAGCCCAAACCAACAAGCUUGCUUGUUGGGGUUGUAGGACACUCUAUACGGAGUUACAAAGGACGACAUUAGACGAAUCAUCUGGAAAGAUGAAUCAAAGAAGGUAAUAAUCCUGUAGUCGAAAAUGUUGUCUCUCUUGAGUGGAUCCUGAGUACGACGGAGCACGUGAAAUUCCGUCGGAAUCUGGGAGGACCAUCUCCUAAGGCUAAAUACUCUCUAGUGACCGAUAGUGAACCAGUACCGUGAGGGAAAGGUGAAAAGCACCCCGGAAGGGGAGUGAAAUAGAACCUGAAACCGUGUGCUUACAAGUAGUCAGAGCCCGUUAAUGGGUGAUGGCGUGCCUUUUGUAGAAUGAACCGGCGAGUUACGAUUUGAUG